AGAAUCAACGCUGGCGGCGUGCCUAACACAUGCAAGUCGAACGCGAAAGGGGAGCAAUCCCUGAGUAGAGUGGCAAACGGGUGAGUAACACGUGGGUGACCUGCCUUCGAGUGGGGGAUAACGUCCCGAAAGGGACGCUAAUACCGCAUGAUAUCCUGCUUUUGGAAAAGUGGAGAUCAAAGCUGGGGAUCGCAAGACCUGGCGCUUGAAGAGGGGCCCGCGCCUGAUUAGCUAGUUGGUGGGGUAAUGGCUCACCAAGGCUACGAUCAGUA
rnacentral:rRNA from 1 species